CAGCUGUGAAUGCAGAGGAAGGAAGGCCUGGAGCCCGGAGGUGGGAAGUGAGCAAGAACUAUCCAAUAGGAACACAAUGUGAGCAACGUGUUUUUGCUGUGGAGAGGGGUCUUGUGAGGAUUCCAAGAGUCUCCCCAGAAGAUACUGAGGUCAAUCAACUUCCCAGUGUCCUGCUAGUCCAUGGUCUGGACAGCCUGUUGUCAGCAGUCAAGGAAUCCAAGGGCUGAGUCAUGGGAUGCUGAUUCAUAUGAUAAUCAAAAGGGAACCUGGGGUAAUGACUGGACUGGUAUGUAAAAUUAAAGACUUAGCUUAUGAUCUACAAGAGAUGAGCUAUUCAGAGAAUUUAUUAG